AAUGUAGGAAACAACAUUCUACAUAAUUAUUUUACAACAGCAAGAUUUUAUGUGCUAUUUUAGAUGUUUCCCUUGUUUUUCAUUUUAAAAGAAGAAUAUAAACUUUCUAGAACAAAACAUGCUGAGGAUGGCUUUCAGCUGCCACGUUCUUAGCUUAAGCCAAGUGCCUUGGAAGUGCAGAUAUUUUCAGGAACAGCAUAACAUACACAUAAAGACAUAUUUCAAGUGAUCCGCAGGGUUUUUACUUAUUCUGGUAUACGCACAGUAGAUGCUGCAAGAACAAAGACUGAAUUUGGCACUUUAUUGAGAUGUAGAAAUUCAACAGCAGGAAAUAAUCUUCCUUGAAAGAAACCCCUAUUUCCGUCCUCCUUUUUUUAUACAUCCUUUAGUAGCUGAUCACUUAAAACAGGUGCUGUAAUUCAUGAUUGGACAUUAAACGUUUACGAUGGAUGGUGUCUGUGUUUAGAGACAACUUUAUGUACCAGUGCUUGUAAGGCACUUCCUCUCAGGAAUCAAAUGGAAU
rnacentral:lncRNA from 1 species